rnacentral:rRNA from 1 species
GAUGAACGCUGGCGGCGUGCCUAAUACAUGCAAGUCGAGCGAACGGACGAGAAGCUUGCUUCUCUGAUGUUAGCGGCGGACGGGUGAGUAACACGUGGAUAACCUACCUAUAAGACUGGGAUAACUUCGGGAAACCGGAGCUAAUACCGGAUAAUAUUUUGAACCGCAUGGUUCAAAAGUGAAAGACGGUCUUGCUGUCACUUAUAGAUGGAUCCGCGCUGCAUUAGCUAGUUAGUAAGGUAACGGCUUACCAAGGCAACGAUGCAUAGCCGACCUGAGAGGGUGAUCGGCCACACUGGAACUGAGACACGGUCCAGACUCCUACGGGAGGCAGCAGUAGGGAAUCUUCCGCAAUGGGCGAAAGCCUGACGGAGCAACGCCGCGUGAGUGAUGAAGGUCUUCGGAUCGUAAAACUCUGUUAUUAGGGAAGAACAUAUGUGUAAGUAACUGUGCACAUCUUGACGGUACCUAAUCAGAAAGCCACGGCUAACUACGUGCCAGCAGCCGCGGUAAUACGUAGGUGGCAAGCGUUAUCCGGAAUUAUUGGGCGUAAAGCGCGCGUAGGCGGUUUUUUAAGUCUGAUGUGAAAGCCCACGGCUCAACCGUGGAGGGUCAUUGGAAACUGGAAAACUUGAGUGCAGAAGAGGAAAGUGGAAUUCCAUGUGUAGCGGUGAAAUGCGCAGAGAUAUGGAGGAACACCAGUGGCGAAGGCGACUUUCUGGUCUGUAACUGACGCUGAUGUGCGAAAGCGUGGGGAUCAAACAGGAUUAGAUACCCUGGUAGUCCACGCCGUAAACGAUGAGUGCUAAGUGUUAGGGGGUUUCCGCCCCUUAGUGCUGCAGCUAACGCAUUAAGCACUCCGCCUGGGGAGUACGACCGCAAGGUUGAAACUCAAAGGAAUUGACGGGGACCCGCACAAGCGGUGGAGCAUGUGGUUUAAUUCGAAGCAACGCGAAGAACCUUACCAAAUCUUGACAUCCUUUGACAACUCUAGAGAUAGAGCUUUCCCCUUCGGGGGACAAAGUGACAGGUGGUGCAUGGUUGUCGUCAGCUCGUGUCGUGAGAUGUUGGGUUAAGUCCCGCAACGAGCGCAACCCUUAAGCUUAGUUGCCAUCAUUAAGUUGGGCACUCUAAGUUGACUGCCGGUGACAAACCGGAGGAAGGUGGGGAUGACGUCAAAUCAUCAUGCCCCUUAUGAUUUGGGCUACACACGUGCUACAAUGGACAAUACAAAGGGCAGCGAAACCGUGAGGUCAAGCAAAUCCCAUAAAGUUGUUCUCAGUUCGGAUUGUAGUCUGCAACUCGACUACAUGAAGCUGGAAUCGCUAGUAAUCGUAGAUCAGCAUGCUACGGUGAAUACGUUCCCGGGUCU